rnacentral:rRNA from 1 species
CUUGAACGCUGGCGGCCGGCCUAACACAUGCAAGUCGAGCGAGCGGCGGACGGGUGAGUAAUGUCUGGGAAACUGCCUGCUGGAGGGGGAUAACUACUGGAAACGGUAGCUAAUACCGCAUAACAUAAGAUGUGCCCAGAUGGGAUUAGCUAGUAGUUGGGGUAACGGCUCACCGAGGCGAAGAUCCCUAGCUGGUCUGAGAGGAUGACCCGCAACACUGGAACUGAGACACGGUCCAGACUCCUAAGGGAGGCAGCAGUGGGGAAUAUGGCACAAUGGGCGCAAGCCUGAUGCAGCCAUGCCGCGUGUGUGAAGAAGGCUUUCGGGUUGUAAAGCAAUUUCAGCGGGGAGGCGUUACCCGCAGAAGAAGCACCGGCUAACUCCGUGCCAGCAGCCGCGGUAAUAC